ensembl:lncRNA
UUACUUUACAAGCCCUUAACCAACAAUGCAGGCUUAAGAAAAAGUGUUAAUUAAGAAAGUAUUUACUAAAAGAAACUGAAGUAAAAAAUAUUAAAAUUAAAUAAAAAACAGAGAGUAGUGGCAGUGUAAAAAUGGGGGGUGGGGACCAUAAAAAUAGUCCGGGUAGUCAUUUGAUUAUCUGCUCAGCAGUCUUAUGGCUUUGGGGUAGAAGCUGCUAAGUAGUCCUUAUGUCAACAUCCACAGGUUGAUCUCUGUUAAGUAGCCCUUAUGUCAACAUCCACAGGUUGAUCUCUGUUAAGUAGCCCUUAUGUCAACAUCCACAGGUUGAUCUCUGUUAAGUAGUCCUUAUGUCAACAUCCACAGGUUGAUCUCUGUUAAGUAGUCCUUAUGUCAACCUCCACAGGUUGAUCUCUGUUAAGUAGUCCUUAUGUCAAUAUCCACAGGUUGAUCUCUGUUAAGUAGCCCUUAUGUCAACAUCCACAGGUUGAUCUCUGUUAAGUAGUCCUUAUGUCAACAUCCACAGGUUGAUCUCUGUUAAGUAGUCCUUAUGUCAACAUCUGCAGGUUGAUCUUUGUUAAGUAGCCCUUAUGUCAACUGCCACAAGUUGAUCUCUGUUAAGUAGUCCUUAUCUCAACAUCUGCAGGUUGAUCUCUGUUAAGAAGUGGUUAGGUGUUUAGUGUUACUAGAUAGCUAUACAUUAUAUUCCUGAUGAGACUUUCUCUCAGUUCAUGAUCACUCCCAGCAUUUACUGUACUGUACAACAGCAAGCAGUAUUUGUUGAAUGUCUCCUUACUUAAUCACUGUGGUGUAAAUCAGGCCACCUCUGAAAGGAAGACACUAUGGUGUAAAUCAGGCCACCUCUGAAAGGAAGACACUAUGGUGUAAAU